AACGAACGCUGGCGGCAUGCCUAACACAUGCAAGUCGAACGAGAUCUUCGGGUCUAGUGGCGCACGGGUGCGUAACGCGUGGGAAUCUGCCCUUUGGUUCGGAAUAACAGUUGGAAACGACUGCUAAUACGGGAUGAUGAGGAAAGUCCAAAGAUUUAUCGCCAGAGGAUGAGCCCGCGUGGGAUUAGCUAGUUGGUGUGGUAAAGGCGCACCAAGGCGACGAUCCUUAGCUGGUCUGAGAGGAUGAUCAGCCACACUGGGACUGAGACACGGCCCAGACUCCUACGGGAGGCAGCAGUGGGGAAUAUUGGACAAUGGGCGAAAGCCUGAUCCAGCAAUGCCGCGUGAGUGAUGAAGGCCUUAGGGUUGUAAAGCUCUUUUACCCGGGAUGAUAAUGACAGUACCGGGAGAAUAAGCUCCGGCUAACUCCGUGCCAGCCGCCGCGGUAA
rnacentral:rRNA from 1 species